rnacentral:rRNA from 1 species
GACGAACGCUGGCGGCGUGCUUAACACAUGCAAGUCGAACGGAAAGGCCCUGCUUUUGUGGGGUGCUCGAGUGGCGAACGCGUGAGUAACACGCGAGUAACCUGCCCUUGACUUUGGGAUAAAUCCAGGAAACUGGGGCUAAUACCGGAUAGGAGCUCCUGCUGCAUGGUGGGGGUUGGAAAGUUUCGGCGGUUGGGGAUGGACUCGCGGCUUAUCAGCUUGUUGGUGGGGUAGUGGCUUACCAAGGCUUUGACGGGUAGCCGGCCUGAGAGGGUGAACGGCCUCAUUGGGACUGAGAUACGGACCAGACUCCUACGGGAGGCAGCAGUGGGGAAUAUUGCACAAUGGGCGGAAGCCUGAUGCAGCAACGCCGCGUGCGGGAUGACGGCCUUCGGGUUGUAAACCGCUUUCGCAUGUGACGAAGCGUGAGUGACGGUAAUGGGUAAAGAAGCACCGGCUAACUACGUG